rnacentral:rRNA from 1 species
GUGGGGAAUCUUGCGCAAUGGGCGCAAGCCUGAUCCAGCCAUGCCGCGUGAGUGAUGAAGGCCUUCGGGUUGUAAAGCUCUUUAGUCCACGAAUAUAAUGACUGUAGUGGAAGAAUAAGCCCCGGCUAACUUCGUGCCAGCAGCCGCGGUAAUACGAAGGGGGCGAGCGUUAUUCGGAAUCACUGGGCGUAAAGCGUGCGUAGGCUGUUUUGUAAGUCAGAAGUGAAAGCCCAGGGCUUAACCCUGGAAUUGCUUUUGAAACUACAAGACUCGAAUUCGGGAGAGGAUAGCGGAAUUGUCAGUGUAGCAGUGAAAUGCGUAGAUAUUGACAGGAACACCAGUGGCGCAAGCGGCUAUCUGGACCGAUAUUGACGCUGAGGCACGAAAGCGUGGGGAGCAAACAGGAUUAGAUACCCGUGUAGUCC